UCUGAUGUCCCUGUGGUGGUGGCUGCAGCGCUGCGGGCAGAAGCUUUGUUUGGCAUGGUCACCAUUGUGGCACACCUUCGGCUCUCUCCUCACCCAUACAGUGUGGCUGUGACUGGUUGGUGCUGGGGGAGACGGAUCGCCCCGGUCGGAGCUCCUAGGGUGUGGUUCGGUCCACGUGGUGCUGUGGGUGCAGGGCAGCAGUCCAGUCCCCUGGUGGUGUUUCUCACAAUUCCUUUUUCAUUGGUGUGCAGUGUCACAG